rnacentral:rRNA from 1 species
ACUGCUCAGUAACACGUGGAUAACCUGCCCUUGGGACCGGCAUAACCCCGGGAAACUGGGGAUAAUUCCGGAUAACGCAUAUGUGCUGGAAUGCUUUAUGCGUAAAAUGGAUUCGUCUGCCCAAGGAUGGGUCUGCGGCCUAUCAGGUAGUAGUGGGUGUAAUGUACCUACUAGCCGACAACGGGUACGGGUUGUGAGAGCAAGAGCCCGGAGAUGGAUUCUGAGGCAUGAAUCCAGGCCCUACGGGGCGCAGCAGGCGCGAAAACUUUACAAUGCGGGAAACCGUGAUAAGGGGACACCGAGUGUCAGCAUCAUAUGCUGGCUGUCCGGGUGUGUAAAAUACACCCGUUAGCAAGGGCCGGGCAAGACCGGUGCCAGCCGCCGCGGUAACACCGGCGGCCCGAGUGGUGAUCGUGAUUAUUGGGUCUAAAGGGUCCGUAGCCGGUUUGGUCAGUCCUCCGGGAAAUCUGAUAGCUCAACUAUUAGGCUAUCGGGGGAUACCACCAGACUUGGAACCGGGAGAGGUAAGAGGUACUACAGGGGUAGGAGUGAAAUCUUGUAAUCCCUGUGGGACCACCUGUGGCGAAGGCGUCUUACCAGAACGGGUUCGACGGUGAGGGACGAAAGCUGGGGGCACGAACCGGAUUAGAUACCCGGGUAGUCCCAGCCGUAAACGAUGCUCGCUAGGUGUCAGGCAUGGCGCGACCGUGUCUGGUGCCGCAGGGAAGCCGUGAAGCGAGCCACCUGGGAAGUACGGCCGCAAGGCUGAAACUUAAAGGAAUUGGCGGGGGAGCAC